rnacentral:lncRNA from 1 species
CUUGCCUGGUUCAGAGAACUUGUGCCUCUUGGAAUUCCAAGGAAGUUAGCAGAUUCUUGAUGAUUUUUCAGUCAGGUAGGUGCUGCAUCUAUUCAAGAAGCAUAUAAUAAGUCGUGAUUUGAUUUGGCCCUACUAAAACUUAUAAGCUGGUCCUCCAGGCACUUCUUUCAGAAUUUGGAGACUUCUUUGAGAAUGAUGCGUUGUCUUUUGGGGAGGUGAAACAACUCCAUAGUGUUCUGAAUGAUACUUGGCUUUGCUCAGAGAUACCUAGACUGUGUGGGUGGAGGGUGGUGAAUGUACCUAAACGCCUAUAAUGGUUUUUCUCAGCUAUAUAAUAUGAAUGUACCUAAACGUAAAUAAAGGAAACAUGACAAUAUUGUCUCUCCUAAUACAAGGUCUUGCUUGCAUGCAUGCUGGUCAUAGUGGAGCUCAUGGGAAUACACCAACCAUCACAGCCUAUUGCCGCUCCUUCAACUACAUAUCAGAUCUUUACCCACACCCACUCAUCAGUUUUCAACAUCUGCGUAUGAGAGAGAGAAUUAUGUUUUUCCAUUGACAAUUUAGAUGAAAUUAAUAAGAAAAAAAAAAGGGUUUCCACAGUCUCUUUACCUCAUCAGGUUGUUGAACAGAGGUGUGCUCGCCACGCUUCAGUAUAGCAAGCUUUUCGUUGUACAAGAGUAAAACGAUUGAGUCCGGUAAUACUAGUUCUAUAGUUAAUAUCUGGCUGAUCAGGUAUGACAAGCUUGUCAAAAACCACCUAAUUAGAUAGUUGAUGAAUCGAGGAAAAAAAAUGAUGAUUCGGAAGAGAAAACCUACCUUGAGCUUGCUUGCGGUCAACUCUAACAGCAGCUUGGGUGUUAUUUUCACAGAGAACCUUCUCGCAACAAAUGGCAAUUCCUCGGUUACAGGCCCAUUGGCUUCCCUUCUGACUCCUAUAGAAUUAGAGCUAUUGGGUCUCUUCUCUUAAACAGAGAGAAGAAACAGCCGCGAGAUGACUUGGCGGGAAGCGUUCUCCGCCGCUGGCAUGGCGAAACAACAGGGAGAGAGAGUUGGUGCUGUGCUGGCAUGGAAUGGCACUUGUUGCCACGUCAGCUUGGCGCUUUUAGAUAGUCAUCGGUCUUUCACCUUUUGACUUUUCCCUUUGAUUUCAAAUAAAGAAAAUAUUCUUCUCAAUUGUUGGAAUACUCUAGGGUACCUUUAGGACAAGAGCCAAUCUCUUUGUAUUCCCUUUUGUUCUGUCAGCAGAAAAGUUUUAUUUUCUAGUUGCUUUUGG